rnacentral:misc_RNA from 1 species
AGAUGGAUCAUUCACAAUGAAUUUUACCAACUCUGGUGCAUGCAUGCAUGCAAAAAAAAAAAAAGAAAAUUUUUUUUUUCUGACUUGGACCAAACGAACUGAAAGCAAUUGGACGUGGGCCAAACGAACUCAAAGCAAUUGGUAGCUAACACAAAUCAGAGUAUAUAAUUAAUUUCACGACUUUCAGCGAUGGAUGUCUCGGAUCUCGUAACGAUGAAGGACGCAGCUAGCUGCGAUACGCAGUGUGACUUGCAAACUUCUGAGAAUCACUAGAUUUUUGAACGCAAACGGCACUCUUGGGCUCUGCUCAGGAGUAUGCUCACUUCAGUGCUUUAUAUGUUUGUUGUCUUAAUUGGUAGACAACGUGGAUAGUCGCUGUUCUUACGGCCUCUGAAAUCGAAUGGUCUUCGACUCUUUGGUGAACCCAUAGAGACACGGAUCAAGUUGUUAUUCUAACAAGCCUGAAUUUGAGCAAGGCUACCCGCUGAAUUUAAGCAUAUUAUUAAGCGGAGGAAGAGAAACUAACUAGGAUUCCCUUAGUAACGGCGAGUGAACAGGGAAGAGCUCAAACUGAAAAUCGGCAGCUUGCUGUUGAAUUGUAGUCUCGCGAAGUGCAACCUGUGUUUGUUUCUGGGCUAAGUCUCUUGGAAAAGAGUACCAAAGAGGGUGAAAGUCCCGUCUUUGCCCAGACCUAUUCACGUUCGGUGCAUUUUCAAAGAGUCGCGUUCCUUGCGAUUGGAGCGCUAAGUGGGUGAUAAAUUUCAUCUAAAGCUAAAUACUAACGAGAUUCCGAUAGCAUACAAGUACCGUGAGGGAAAGAUGAAAAGGACUUUGAAAAGAGAGUUAAAAGGAACUGAAAUCGCUGAAAGGGAAGCGGAGAGUCUCGACUGUCCUGCAAUUCUGGGAGUUUGACUUAGUUAUAUUUAACUGGUUUUGAACGCUAGAGAUCUGCGGUUGACGCUGGGAGAGAUCGUUCGAAUCGAGCAAGCCAAAUGUGUGUUCCCCAUUGGGGUCACUUUCUUGUUGUUUUCGUUUCUUCUGAUCUGUGGCUCUAUUGGGACACUUUAAUGGUCGCAAUAUAGUACCCCAGAAAUGUCGUUUCCCUCCGUCCCGUCUUGAAACACGGACCAAGGAGUCUAACUUAUGUGCGAGUACAAGGGUGGAAAACCCACGUGCGAAAUGAAAGUAAUUGUCAGGAAGGGUAACCUGCACUGACACCCGGCUACCAAGCUGAGGUUGAGCAUAUAGGUUAGGACCCGAAAGAUGGUGAACUAUGCCUGAGUAGGGUGAAGCCAGAGGAAACUCUGGUGGAGGCUCGUAGCGAUACUGACGUGCAAAUCGUUCGUCAAACUUGGGUAUAGGGGCGAAAGACUAAUCGAACCAUCUAGUAGCUGGUUCCCUC